rnacentral:rRNA from 1 species
UACGUAGGGUGCAAGCGUUGUCCGGAAUUAUUGGGCGUAAAGGGCUCGUAGGCGGUCCAUCGCGUCGGGAGUGAAAACCUGGGGCUCAACUCUGGGCGUGCGGUCGAUACGGGCAUCACUAGAGUUCGGCAGGGGAGACUGGAAUUCCUGGUGUAGCGGUGAAAUGCGCAGAUAUCAGGAGGAACACCGGUGGCGAAGGCGGGUCUCUGGGCCGAUACUGACGCUGAGGAGCGAAAGCAUGGGUAGCGAACAGG